rnacentral:lncRNA from 1 species
GAAAACCAGCACUGUCACGGACCAGGAUGUCUUGCUCCCAGGCAGACUAAAUAACUUUUUUGCCCGCUUUGAGGACAAUACAGUGCCACUGACACUGCCCGCAACUAAAACAUGCGGACUCUCCUUCACUGCAGCCGACGUGAGGAAAACAUUUAAACGUGUCAACCCUCGCAAGGCUGCAGGCCCAGAUGGCAUCCCCGGCCGCGCCCUCAGAGCAUGGCCAGACCAGCUGGCUGGUGUGUUUACGGACAUAUUCAAUCAAUCCCUAUCCCAGUCUGUUUUCCCACAUGCUUCAAGAGGGCCACCAUUGUUCCUGUUCCCAAGAAAGCUAAGGUAACUGAGCUAAACGACUACCACCCCGUAGCACUCACUUCCGUCAUCAUGAAGUGCUUUGAGAGACUAGUCAAGGACCAUAUCACCUCCACCCUACCUGACACCCUAGACCCACUCCAAUUUGCUUACCGCCCAAAUAGGUCCACAGACGAUGCAAUCUCAACCACACUGCACACUGCCCUAACCCAUCUGGACAAGAGGAAUACCUAUGUGAGAAUGCUGUUCAUCGACUACAGCUCGGCAUUCAACACCAUACUGCCCUCCAAGUUCGUCAUCAAGCUCGAGACCCUGGGUCUCGACCCCGCCCUGUGCAACUGGGUACUGGACUUCCUGACGGGCCGCCCCCAGGUGGUGAGGGUAGGCAACAACAUCUCCACCCCGCUGAUCCUCAACACUGGGGCCCCACAAGGGUGCGUUCUGAGCCCUUUCCUGUACUCCCUGUUCACCCACGACUGCGUGGCCACGCACGCCUCCAACUCAAUCAUCAAGUUUGCGGACGACACAACAGUGGUAGGCUUGAUUACCAACAACGACGAGACGGCCUACAUCGAGGAGGUGAGGGCCCUCGGAGUGUGGUGUCAGGAAAAUAACCUCACACUCAACGUCAACAAAACUAAGGAGAUGAUUGUGGACUUCAGGAAACAGCAGAGGGAACACCCCCCUAUCCACA